rnacentral:rRNA from 1 species
CAGUAGCCGCGGUAAUACAGAGGGUGCGAGCGUUAAUCGGAUUUACUGGGCGUAAAGCGUGCGUAGGCGGCUUCUUAAGUCGGAUGUGAAAUCCCUGAGCUUAACUUAGGAAUUGCAUUCGAUACUGGGAAGCUAGAGUAUGGAAGAGGAUGGUAGAAUUCCAGGUGUAGCGGUGAAAUGCGUAGAGAUCUGGAGGAAUACCGAUGGCGAAGGCAGCCAUCUGGCCUAAUACUGACGCUGAGGUACGAAAGCAUGGGGAGCAAACAGGAUUAGAUACCCCCGUAGUCCCUGUCUCUUAUAC